CCUCUGUGUCCCCUCUCAGGUGACUACCUACAGGUUCUUCAAGCCCUGGCUCAGUAUCACAGCCCUUCCCCAUUCCCUGGCUGCAUCUGCUGUGUUUCUGGGCACCUUUGAGGAGUGUCACUACGGUGUGCUCUAGGUCCUGGGAAUCUGUCCCAGCUACUGGACAGGGGAUGGAAGAAGGUAGAGAAGCAUAGUCACUUCUCAGUCUCCUUGGCCAGAGCUCUGCCCUUCCAUUCUGCUCCCAGGCAUUUGGUGAGACAUCCUUGCCCAGCCUCUGGCAAUUGCAAAGGACUUGGAGGGAAUUUUUGGCCUGAUGUAACCGUCCCUUCCAGUGAUACUUGUCUCCUUGGGAUGGGGAGAUGAACUGUUGGUGGACAGCUGGCUGCCUCCACCAUGGAUAGAGUCUCAGGACAGUGCCUCUAUCAAGCAGAGUAACCCCAACUACAAUGGGAAGCCUGAUAACAGGAGACUGGAGGAGCUUCAGAAAGAUGCUCUUGCAAGGUCCCCAUUCACGAAUGACUCACAAGGCAAAGACAGCCUCUUGUGGAGAACUAGAAGGUGUGAGUGAGGUCAGAGGAUCUGGGUCUGGAUCCUGGCUAUACUACAUCCUGAAUGCUUCAUCCUAAGCAGUUUACGCAAACUCCGAGCUUCACGUUCCCCAUCGGCAAGACAGAAUGAUGCUGACAGCUGGGUCACCUUGUCAUUUCGAGUGCUUACCAGACUGGCCACAGGAAAGGAACCAAUAAAUGCCGGAGAGAGUCAUUGCUGUUAUGUUGCUACUCAGGGGAAGACAGGAGCGGCCCAGGUUCUUACUUGGGUGCUUGAGAUCUGUGUGACUUUAGACACUCAGGCGCCCCAGCUUCAGUGGAGUCUCCAUGAAGUGGCAAUAAUAAGAACUGCCUUGCUGGGCUGCUGAGAGGAGUGGAGCACUGCAAGAGGACAUCUGGCCCGCUGGGAACUCAGGACAUGACAGGAAGGGUGUCCACACUGUCACUUUCUAUGAUGCAAUUUUUAUUAUCUUUAUUGUUAUCUCUGGGUCGCGCCUAGUGGGUGCUUUGUAGAUGGACCUCUACAAAGGCUCAGUCUGGGGAAUGGGACUGUCAACAGCAGGUACCUGUGAACCCAGGCUGUGGAAAGACGAGGCCUGUGGCCUGCCUGGCACCCAGGGCCCGGCACAUGUAAGUGUUGUGAGCGUGGACCAAGGGUUACUUGCCUUUCUCAUGCUUGCCUAAGACACAGGCUAGGCCUAUGGUGAAGGGGUGGGGUCAGGAGCAGAGAAUAAUGGCCAGACCGAGCUGGGAAGGCCUGGGAUGCCAGGCAGACUGGCUCUGAGUCGACUUGCUUCUGUUCCUCAAGAUGCUAGCCUGGGGUCUUGGUCGGCGGGCUCCUCCUGCAGACCUUCGGAGACAGAGCAAGGCCAUGGGCGCCCUGUUGGGGCAGGGAUGCAUCUCUGGACUCAGCUGUCUCCUGCUGGGGCUGCAGUGAAAGGGAAGGCCAUUUGCAAUUCAGAUCGGGCAGAUGGGAGGACAUUGCUGGGAGGGGAGUGGGGGGACACGCUUGAGUCAGCUGUCUCAUUUCUCACAUACAUCCUGACCCUAGAGCAGCCCUUCCCAGCCUGGUGCCCGGCCUCUCAGAGCACACCCGCUCCCUGUGCUUUACGUAAGGAGGGAGACACUAUUGCUCUUCCACCUCAGACACAAGUGAGGCCCAGAGAGGCACAUCGACUCACCCUGGGCUACAUGGUGGCCAAGGGCAGAGCUGCAGCACAUGCCAGGCAGCCUGGAUUCAGAGCCCAUAUUCUUUUUUUUUUUUGGUUUUUCGAGACAGGGUUUCUCUGUGUAGCUUUGCGCCUUUCCUGGAACUCGCUUUGGAGACCAGGCUGGCCUCGAACUCACAGAGAUCCACCUGGCUCUGCCUCCCGAGUGCUGGGAUUAAAGGCGUGCGCCACCACCGCCCAGCUAGAGCCCAUAUUCUUAUUCAUGCUGGGCAUCCCUCCAACGCCAGUCCCUCCCCUGUGCCCGGAAGUCCCAAUGGAUGCCGUGUGAAGCCUAUUUGAGCGCCCCCUCCCCUUCUUAUCAUAGGGACAACUCAUCCUCUUCUCCAUCCACGGAGUUGCUCUGGGAUCACCUUGACAGAGAGGUCACCGGGUCCAGGCCUUUUCGAUUUCCUGGGCCUCGUGGGACCUCUGGGCUAUGAGAGGGAACUCAGAUUUACAUUAAAUGGCCAGGCAGGGUUUUGUAGGGACUCACAAGUAGAUGGCUUUGGAUCAUUGGUUUGCAGGGACAAAGAUGAGGAUCUGGGACCAAGCAGCACAGAUUGCCAGGGCUGCUGGCUUGCUCCCGGUGUCUACAAACAGGGGAAGUACCACAUGCGGAGCCCUUCUCCACAGCCUCCCUCUCCCUCCAUCCACCCCACGGCCAGCAAGGCAGCCGAAGGCUCCACCUUACAAAUGGGUCAUUUUUAACGAGGCCCUCCCUGGUCAGUGUGGGCACGAAGGCUAGAAAAGCUUAUUUCCUUCCUCCAGCCUCUCGCCCGCCUCCCUUUCCUGUUCCUUGGAGGGGAAUGGAUGAGCCCGUGGUGGGAACUUGCUCCUUCAACGUCCACUUCUCUGUAGAAUGCGCUGCUCGAUCAUUUAUUUGUCCAUCCGGAUAGGGUGAAUGCUUUGGGUGAUAGAUUAAAAAAAAAAAAAAACCAGAUUGUCAGUGACAAUCCUGGACCAACUCUUCCUCUGUGUUGAAGCUGGGCUUUCGUCUCCCUGGCUCUGUGAUCUUGAAUAAUCUAUCUCCUCUCUACCUCUAUUGUCUCAUCUGUGAAAUGGGUGGCUGAGUCUCUCUUUGGCAGAGUUCGUUUAUGAAUGCAGUCAGCUCCUGCAGGAGCCUCAUACGGUCCAUGUUAAUAACUGAGGGUCCCAACAGCUCCCCCAUAGGUUCUUGGUUCGCUGGUAGGGCAGGCCUCCUCCUUCCGUGACCUCUAACCCUACCUUCUCCUCCCCCAACUCCUUCUCAACGGGAGGCUGUGAGUCGUCCCGCCCCACCCCCCCAACGCGGCCCAGGGGGCCAGAGAAAUUACACCAAAUCAAAGCAGAAAAUGAGUUUUCAUUCAUCUUGGAAUGAUGCGAGAGGUUACGAGCAAGACAAAUAGCAGCCUCCCCCUCUUCCUUUAUCACUGUCACCGCAAUUAAUAGGCUGUGGCCUUCGUUAUCCAGGCCUUGCUAAGGAGAGAGCAGCCCCCGGGCGACGCUAACGAGGAAGUGGAAACAGGCCUGCUCCCACGCUCCCACCAAGAGCCGUCAUGUGGCCAUAUGCUCACCUGGCCCUCCGGACCUGCUGUUGGGGGUGCAGAAAAGCUUCGGAGGGGCCACAGCAGCAUGUGGGGGAGCGACGUGAGGCCUAUGUAAGAGGGGAACACUGGUCCCCUGGCGCCCUGAGAGUGCCCAGGCUGCCCGUGGGUUGAUAAUCACAGCUGCCCAGUCUCUUGGUUAUUUCUGGAGUCCCAGUUAGGAGCAGGCACACAACUUUCUGUGAUCUCGGUCUCUGUUCUCAGAUUCCUUCCGGGAGAAAACUGACUCCUCGGAGAGAAGAGCAGCUGUUCGUCUGAGCUUGAACAGAUCUGGAAAGGGCAGCGUCAGGGUUUGAACACAAGCCUACUCAGACGCAAACCCUGACUCCCUCACUGUCGCAUGCUGUUGCCCAGUGAUGAGGAACAAGGACUAGAGCCAGGCUCCGCUCUCUGGUUCCAGAAUUUGAGUAGGAAAAGAGCCAGAGAGUACAGCUGACUCAACACGACUUCCCCACCAUGACCCCGACCUGGGUACCCCAGCCCCUACACAGGGCCUUCAAGCUAUUGCUAAGCCUCUGCCUGCACUGAGUCCUUGUCAGGACCAAGGAGAAAGCUCUUCUUUUCAAGCGUAAGGAGAUUCCAGAAAGGAGAUUUUUGUUAUGCUUUGUUUUUUUGUUGUUUUUCGAGACAGGGUUUCUCAUGUAGCUCUGGCUGUCCUGGGACUCACUCUGUAGACCAGGCUGGCCUUGAACAGAGAUCUGCCUGCCUCUGCCUCCUGAAUGCUGGGAUUAAAGGCGUGUGCUACCACCGCCCGCCCGACUCAGAAAGGUGAUUUUUAAAAGGAAUCCAUGUGUGGUGAUGCACACCUAUGAUCCCAGUCCUUAAGAGGCUGUGGCAAGAGGAUCACAAAUUUGAGGCCAGCUUGGAUACAUAUGUGUCUGUAUAUAUAUACACACAUACUUAUAACUCUCUAGAUAUGUGAUUUUUUUUUAAAUGAAUUCCUUUAACAGUUACUCAGUGCCUAGGCGGUUCGGCUCAUUAAGUACUUGCUCAAUCAAUGCAUACUGUAUUACUUAUCUAUUACUGUAUGACAGAUUAUCCUAAAAGUUAGUAGCUUAAAACAACAAUAAACAUUUACUGCCCCUCA